rnacentral:lncRNA from 1 species
GUGGGAGUUAAAAAGUUCGAUCGACCGUCUAUCAUUGAAUCAGAUUGGUUCGCAACAUUUGAGCGAUGUGCCAUCCACAUUCAAGCUAAAAGUAGCUUUGAUACCGGUUUAGCAGUCAAUUGUAUGGACUACAAUUGCGAAUGUUAAGAUGGCAAUUGUGCCAAUGACCACGAGGAUCUGCUGAACGAGGUACCAAAAUGUUUUUUAUCUAAAAGAAAAAAAUGCAUUGAAGACAGUAAGAAAAAGGAAGUUUAGUUCUUAAAACGAAUAUAAUUAAAAUAUUACCUGCCAAAAGUCAUAAGUUGGGUUGACAAAGAAAACUGGUGUAUUUAUGCUUUUCACAAAAUUUUGAGGAAAGAAACACUGGGUUGCAGUAAAUACAGCAAUUAGUUAGUAAUGCAGAACAAAUUUAACAUGAUAAAAUAUUAAGAUGUAACUUAUUAUUUAAGGAAAAAAGAUCCUUUCAGGAAUUAAAAUAAAAGGGCACCUUGGAUGGUUCCAUUUUGGCUACACAAUCCUGUUUUAAGCUUCCUGCUGUACCCUAAUAUCAUCAUACAUGCAGAAUAAUUUAACAAAAUACCACCUAAUUAGCACAAAUUUUCAAGUUGUCUGAUGGGCAUUCAUAUACCUAUUGAUAACUUAUAAUUACCGACACUAACGCGAGACCUUAUAUCAUCCUAUUAGUGAGAAGACUAUAAAAAGUAGAUCCUAAACAUGCCUUAGAUCUUUCAAGAAUUGUGCUAUGUUAUUUAAUAAAAUGACAAACCUGAAGAUGGACAACAUCAUGGUAAAAUGACUGGAUGGUGGCAUUACCAGCAACAUCUUGCCUACAACCAAGGAAAAUUGAUGUAAAACUUCUCAAUAUUUCAAGAAAAUAGCAAAUAAUAUAUGUAUGAUGCGCUUCUAUUUUUCAGGUAUUAAAUAUUUAUAUGCAUCAGGUACACUUAAAGAAACAUAAAACAGCAUUCCUUUGGUUGGCAAUAAAAAAAUCAAAAGAUGUUGAUAUGCAUUAUCUUGGUCCCCCCACCCCUCCCCCUGCAAAUUAUAUAUCUAUGUGCAUGUUUAUACAUACACGCACAUAUACAUAUAUUAAUAUAUAUGUUCCAUACAUAUUACGCACACUGCACAGGCGUAUGCAGUAUGCACACUGAUGAAGUGAUCAGAUAAUGGUUAUUGCAGAAGAACAUACUCAUUAAGAAAGAAACCUGCAUCAGAUAAACAUUUGACUCUGGCAUCUUUCGGCAAAAUUUCUCUGAAAUCAUCACAGUGGAUGAGUGUUGCAAGUCCUCCAGCUGAACAUCCAGAAAGAAGUGCCUGUCAAAUUAUUUUAAACUUUCAAGUAAAAUAUAUCUACUUACACUUAUCGUAUAAUACAGAAUCUAGAAUAAUCUGCAGUCAGAAUGAUAUAAAUAGUUAAACUUGUCUUUUCACGUUUGCUGAUAGCUUUAGUAGUUUAAAUACAUGAAUGACCUUGAUGAAAAAAGUUACUUUAUCCAUAAAAAGUUUAAAAAAUGUACCUCUUGAGCAUUAGAUAAUCCAAUUGACAAGAGCUCAUCCAUCAUUGCUUCCCAUAUGAGUUGACCUCUGAAGAAAAGUUUAGUAUCAUUCUGUUGCAUUAUUGAAACAGGUAAAACAGUUGUUUAUACUAAACCGGCAUACUUGAAAAAAAAUUCACAAUU